GGUUUUAUAGUUUUAUAAAAAUAUUAAAUUGCAAAUUUAAAGAAAGAUUAAUCUUAAAACCU
rnacentral:tRNA from 1 species